AGCGUAGACGGUAAAGCAAGUCUGAAGUGAAAGCCCGGGGCUCAACCCCGGGACUGCUUUGGAAACUGUUUAACUAGAGUGCUGGAGAGGUAAGCGGAAUUCCUAGUGUAGCGGUGAAAUGCGUAGAUAUUAGGAGGAACACCAGUGGCGAAGGCGGCUUACUGGACGGUAACUGACGUUGAGGCUCGAAAGCGUGGGGAGCAAACA
rnacentral:rRNA from 1 species